AAACAUGCAAGUAUAUAAAUGAUAAAAACGAAAGAAACUCCCUCAAAGCUUUCAUGUACCCACAGUACCAUACAUUGAGUAAACAGGGUGGAAAUCACGAGAAUGUACAGACUGUCUAACAUAACUACUAUUAUUUGUUUUGUGUCUAUUGGUAUGAUCAUGAAAGCCGUCGCACAGGAUUGUGAUUCUUCAAGAUUGAAUUCCUGCGGAAAAAAGUUCAACAACGUAUUGGUAUAUACAUCCAUCCUUGACAAGCGGAAAAUAUGCAGUGCUUCAUUUGUCUAUUUGAAUUGUUUAAAUUCAUUUGCUGACUGUGAUAAGAAUCUUGAUAAUGUCAUCGCCACUACCAAAAAGCUCAUAUCUACCUACAAUUGUGGUAGCGGAAAUGGUGCCGGAAGUCUUGUUUUCAACAUGCUUACUUUGGUUUUAGGACUUGCAUUGUAUAAGCUUUAUUAGAUUUCUUACAUUAAUUAAUAAACAGAUAUUGUAUUUGCAAAUAACGGCCCCGUGAAUGGGCAGAUUAUAACAAUCAUAAUUUUUAAAUAUAAUAUAAAUAAUCAAGAAAACAAAGUAUAACAUGAUUAGUUGACAAUUAGUUGUUUCAUAUUUGAAAUGUAAUUGCAAUAAGGAGUUGGUAAAAUAUAAAUAUAUAUGUGGUAAAACAUUGUUUAUUACCAUGGACCCUUCAAUGGACAUCGCACCUCUAUGUAUCAUGAUGGUUAAUUGAAAAUAUAGGUUAUGCAUAUAUCUAAUUUGCAAAACAUAUCCUUAUUCGUAAACUGUCAUGUUUUCUUUAUCAAACUGUUAACAUAAACUUCUAAAAA